AACGAACGCUGGCGGCAGGCUUAACACAUGCAAGUCGAGCGCAUUCCUUCGGGAGUGAGCGGCGGACGGGUUAGUAACGCGUGGGAACGUGCCCUCUUCUACGGAAUAGCCCAGGGAAACUUGGAUUAAUGCCGUAUACGCCCGAAAGGGGAAAGAUUUAUCGGAGGAGGAUCGGCCCGCGUUGGAUUAGGUAGUUGGUGGGGUAAUGGCCUACCAAGCCGACGAUCCAUAGCUGGUUUGAGAGGAUGAUCAGCAACACUGGGACUGAGACACGGCCCAGACUCCUACGGGAGGCAG
rnacentral:rRNA from 1 species